rnacentral:lncRNA from 1 species
CAGGGCCAGUAAAUCCCCUCCAGAUGUUUCAAAACCUUUUUCAGAAUCUUUCCUUCAGUUUAACCAAACCUGCCUUUUUUGAAUUAGCAGAGGAAUUUCUUUUCUCAAUGAAAGUGAAAAUAAUUGUUUUGUUUAAUCAAAGAGUGGCAGAGAUGUUUCACUUGUUUUGACAGCUGUGAUAUGCAGGAUGUGACCCUAGCCAAGGCAGUGAUAACUGUAUUUAAAAAUCAGCCAAUAUUGCAGAAGUAACUAGGAUGAAAGAGAGAUCCUUAUUUAAAAUAAAUUAAUAUGAAGAAUGGAGAAUGAAUGAGGAACUUCCAUCAUUGUUCUGCAACAGAAGGCAUGUGAGCACUGGUGAUAUACACAGAGAGAAACAACUUCAGAAGAGAACAGCUUCUGAUUUUUUGUGUGUGUUUUUGUUUAUUUGUUCCAUAGUUGGGUAUAGUUCCAGAUUCAUCAAAGAAAAGCCAUAGGAAGACCACUAAAUCACAGACUUAAUUGCAGUUCCUUGCUCUGUCAGCUUUUGGGGAGCCAGGAGCUCUGUGGUGUGAGCAAUGCUGAAUGUACUCAUUAGCAAGACAGCUGAGGGGAGCAUCCCAGGGGGUUGUUUCUGUCCUGAAGCCCCCACCAAGACCUACAGCCAAGGUUCUAUGGCAUCCUCAGGUAUUUUACACUUUAUUUUACCUCUCACAACAGGACUGAGCCUUUCCUGUUCACCCCCGUGCUGUGUUCCUCUAAUGCAUGAAGGCAGCUGCUUUGCUCUGCAAGGACUGCUGAAAAUUUUUAUCAUAGAAAAGCAGCCUCUGAGCACUCACAUACCCGCCUCUAGUCUUUCUUGGGCAUUCUUCUUACACGUUUUUAUAUUGCCUAACCUUUUUCUAACCUAGAUUUUGUCCUUCAAAAUGCUUAAUGGACUCUGUUCUGUCCUCACUGCUGGGCCAAGUCUCUGCUGGGGUGGUGUUGAGGACUGCCUGGCUGUUCCCAGUUAAUCUGAUGGCUGUCAUCCUCUCCUCCCAGCCAGCUGGCUCUGCCUCUGCUCUGGCUCUUGCCCCCACGAGCGUAACCGUGUCUCUUCUGUCCCAGCUUCCUCCCUGUUGACACCCUGUGCUUUUUUCUGCCACCCUUUGUGGCCCAAGUGCCUUCUGCUGCAGCCCAUCAGAACAGCUUCCAGAAGAUCUGUAAUCCAGGAGGACAGCAGCUGAGUUCCAGAGGGAAGAUCAGUGUGGAGACACUAGGAGUGAGAGAGAAAGGACAAAAUCCUGCAUAAGGAUUUAUAAGAAGAAACUGCAUCGCAUCUUUCUUUUGUGAGGAUUCUGCAUGUAAUUGUAUUUUCUCUAAUUGACCUGUGCUUCAGAAAAACAUUUACUCUCUUCAGUGUUUCAUGUCUCCGAGACUGCAAAGAGGUGAAAUAUUAAUGGUUGUGGUUGAACCCCUGCCAGAAACCAAGUACCACAGAGCUGUUCAUGGAGUGCCCCACUGCUGCCCACCCUGGGGGAGAGGAGAACUGGUAAAAACCCCAGAGCUCACACACUGAGAUAAAGCCACUUCAACAGGUAAAGCAAAACAA